rnacentral:lncRNA from 1 species
UUCAAACAAAUGUAACAUUAAACAUUUUGAUGUUCCAAAUGGGAAAUAUGCUUGGAUUCUUGUCAUAAAGUAAUAUGUCUCUAACCUCAAGGACCCAAAUAAGAUUAUGGGUACCAAAAACUCUAUUGCUUUGUUUUGCAGAAUAAGUUUUUCAAAAGGAGAAGAGAACUUUAUGAUACUUUUCUUUUGGAAUUGAUGCUCCAAG